AUCAACCCCAGAGUAGUAUGCUGUGUGGUGGGGAUCAGUUGGCCGGUGUGUCCGUCCCUAUCUGGAGGAGUUGGCAUCGUUUCCUCAAACAUGGGGUGGGAGAGGUGGUGGGGGGCUUGGUCAGUAGAGGAGUGGUGUGUGUAGGGCAGGUGGGGAGAGAGAGAGGUGAGUCAGAGGAGGAGUGGUGUGUGUAGGGCAGGUGGGGAGAGAGAGGUGAGUCAGAGGAGGAGUGGUGUGUGUAGGGCAGGUGGGGAGAGAGAGAGGUGAGUCAGAGGAGGAGUGGUGUGUGUAGGGCAGGUGGGGAGAGAGAGAGGUGAGUCAGAGGAGGAGUGGUGUGUGUAGGGCAGGUGGGGAGAGAGAGAGGUGAGUCAGAGGAGGAGUGGUGUGUGUAGGGCAGGUGGGGAGAGAGAGAGGUGAGGCAGUGGGGGAGUGGUGUGUGUAGGGCAGGUGGGGAGAGAGAGAGGUGAGUCAGAGGAGGAGUGGUGUGUGUAGGGCAGGUGGGGAGAGAGAGAGGUGAGUCAGAGGAGGAGUGGUGUGUGUAGGGCAGGUGGGGAGAGAGAGAGGUGAGUCAGAGGAGGAGUGGUGUGUGUAGGGCAGGUGGGGAGAGAGAGAGGUGAGUCAGAGGAGGAGUGGUGUGUGUAGGGCAGGUGGGGAGAGAGAGAGGUGAGUCAGAGGAGGAGUGGUGUGUGUAGGGCAGGUGGGGAGAGAGAGAGGUGAGUCAGAGGAGGAGAGAUGUGUGCCCCUCCCUCUCCGGAGAUGCUGGAGAACUCUUUGAGAGGGGGGUGUGUGGAUGGGUGAGGAGGGAGGGGUGUGUGUGUGUAGUCAGAUAGAGGAGUG